GCCAAAAUUCUAGCUCCCCAUUAACCCUAUGUACCCCACCCCUUAACUCAUUCCAACCAAAACAUUUUUACAUUAUAGUAAAGGAGAUUGAAAAAUUUACUGAAGCAAUAAACCUAGUACCGCAAGGGAAAGAUGAAAUAUUAAUGAAAAUAUUUAAGCAAAAAAAAGUAGAGCCCAACUCUCGUACCUUUUGCAUCAUGGUUCAACUAGUCUAAUCAAGCAAAAAGCAUUAUAGUUUGACCCCCCGAAACUAAGCGAGCUACUUCAGGGCAGCUUAAUGAGCCAACCCGUCUCUGUUGCAAAAGAGUGGGAAGACCCCUAAGUAGAGGUGACAUAUCUAACGAGCCUAGUGAUAGCUGGUUACUUAGGAAAAGGAUCUUAGUCCAACCUAAAGUCUUACCUUUAUGCCAAAAACACCUUUUGACUUUAGAGCAAUUCAAAUAAGGUACAGCCUAUUUGAAACAGGAUACAACCUAAUCUGACGGGUAAAAUUUAUAUUAACCCCCAUCCCCCCCAAGUAGGCCUAAGAGCAGCCAUCUUUUUAAAAGCGUCACAGCUUAGUCCCCCUCAAAAUCCCAAUUCCCCAUACUUACUUAAACCCUCUAACAUUACUGAGUAAUCCUAUACUUUUAUAGAAAAUUUUAUGUUGAAACUAGUAACAAGAAUAAAAACCUUCUCUUAAAUGCAAGUAUAAAUCAGAAAGGAUAAACCACUGAUAAUUAACGCCCAUGAACAUAUAUUAGCAACCCCACAAGAAAACCCUAAUAUACCUCACGUUAACCUGACACAAGAGCAUUUCAAGAAAGAUUAAAAGAAAGAGAAGGAACUCGGCAAAUAUUAACCCCGCCUGUUUACCAAAAACAUCGCCUCUUGACUAAAAAUAAGAGGUCCAGCCUGCCCAGUGACAAAUGUUCAACGGCCGCGGUAUCCUAACCGUGCGAAGGUAGCGUAAUCACUUGUUCUUUAAAUGGGGACUAGUAUGAACGGCACCACGAGGGUUAUACUGUCUCCUCUUUCCAAUCAGUGAAACUAAUCUCCCCGUGAAGAAGCGGGGAUGAGAUUAUAAGACGAGAAGACCCUAUGGAGCUUUAAACUUCUCUUCAGACGCUAGAAUACUCUUACAAGUCACCGACCCCUUCAUACUCACCCUCGGCGCCAUGAAGAUGACUUUUAGGUUGGGGUGACCGUGGAGUAUAAAAAAUCCUCCACGCUGAACUAGGUCUCCAAACCUUGAGCGUAGGGCUACAACCCAAAGCACUAAAAAACUAACACCCAUUGACCCAAUAUUAUUUGAUCAACGAACCAAGUUACCCAGGGAUAACAGCGCAAUCCACUUCAAGAGUCCCUAUCGACAAGUGGGUUUACGACCUCGAUGUUGGAUCAGGGUAUCCCAGUGGUGCAGCCGCUACUA
rnacentral:rRNA from 1 species